GGGGGCGUAGCUCAGAUAGUAGAGUGCUCACUUAGCAGGCGAGAGGUACGGAUAUCGAUACCCCGCGCCUCCA